GAUGAACGCUGGCGGCGUGCCUAAUACAUGCAAGUCGAGCGAACGGACGAGAAGCUUGCUUCUCUGAUGUUAGCGGCGGACGGGUGAGUAACACGUGGAUAACCUACCUAUAAGACUGGGAUAACUUCGGGAAACCGGAGCUAAUACCGGAUAAUAUUUUGAACCGCAUGGUUCAAAAGUGAAAGACGGUCUUGCUGUCACUUAUAGAUGGAUCCGCGCUGCAUUAGCUAGUUGGUAAGGUAACGGCUUACCAAGGCAACGAUGCAUAGCCGACCUGAGAGGGUGAUCGGCCACACUGGAACUGAGACACGGUCCAGGCUCCUACGGGAGGCAGCAGUAGGGUAUCUUCCGCAAUGGGCGAAAGCCUGACGGAGCAACGCCGCGUGAGUGAUGAAGGUCUUCGGAUCGUAAAACUCUGUUAUUAGGGAAGAACAUAUGUGUAAGUAACUGUGCACAGCUUGACGGUACCUAAUCAGAAAGCCACGGCUAACUACGUG
rnacentral:rRNA from 1 species